AUGUCCUUCCACAGCGGCACCGGUGGUGACAUACCCAGCUCCAGCAACGCACCACCUGACGAAAUGGCAUCGCCCGCCUCCUUCACCCACCACCCAGGUAAAGUGAAAAUUCUGCCUUCAGACAAGGACGUUGAGUCCGAGGAAGCCCUGUGGGCCUUGUAUCUGCGCUGGUGCAACACUUUGAACCAGAAGCGUGACCAUGAUGAGAUGGUUCGCCGGUUUGAUGUAUUCAAGGACACUGUUCGGAUGGUCCACCGUGUCAACAAGGCUAAAUUGCCUUACACUCUGAAAGUAAGUAAAUUCGCUGAUGGGAAGCUAGAAGAGUCAAUGAGUCCAAAAGUGUUUGAUGAACCUGAAUAUUUCGCAACUCAAGCAAAGGAUGGUAGAUCUCGCCCUUUGGCAAAUCGUCGGAAGGAAGGGGUUCUCAUCAUUGAAACUGGUGAAGAUGUGCCAGAAUAUCCCCAAAUGAACUUCAAGUUCUCUGAAUCUGGAGAUUCCAUCAUCCCCUUGGAAUGA
rnacentral:rRNA from 1 species